AAUCUAUUUGAUGGUAGUUUCGUCCAAUGUUUAACUAACUAUAAAGCCGUCCUAGACAUUAUACUCGCAAAGAAAUCAUCAUUGUUGCAAUGUGCUAUCAUGUGUGAUACGCUACUCUCUUGCAUUGGAUAUAAUUAUCAUUAUCAAAGUUUCAGCUGUGAACUAGUAACUAUCAGUCCUGGCCAUGGUGUUGUUACAGAGAUUCAGAAGAAACAGGAAGACGGUUGGGAAUUUUAUUCCACAUGUUACAGAAACAAUCGUGCAUGUAUUUGGUGUUACUUUUGAUGUCAUGCUUCGCAAUCUAUAAGUUUGGUGUUACUUCUAUUAAAUGGCUACUACUUUUUUCAA